AUGAACGCUGGCGGCGUGCCUCUUACCUGCAAGUCGCGCGAACGGACGAGAAGCUUGCUUCUCUGAUGUUAGCGGCGGACGGGUGAGUAACACGUGGAUAACCUACCUAUAAGACUGGGAUAACUUCGGGAAACCGGAGCUAAUACCGGAUAAUAUUUUGAACCGCAUGGUUCAAAAGUGAAAGACGGUCUUGCUGUCACUUAUAGAUGGAUCCGCGCUGCAUUAGCUAGUUGGUAAGGUAACGGCUUACCAAGGCAACGAUGCAUAGCCGACCUGAGAGGGUGAUCGGCCACACUGGAACUGAGACACGGUCCAGACUCCUACGGGAGGCAGCAGUAGGGAAUCUUCCGCAAUGGGCGAAAGCCUGACGGAGCAACGCCGCGUGAGUGAUGAAGGUCUUCGGAUCGUAAAACUCUGUUAUUAGGGAAGAACAUAUGUGUAAGUAACUGUGCACAUCUUGACGGUACCUAAUCAGAAAGCCACGGCUAACUACGUG
rnacentral:rRNA from 1 species